AGAAUAAAAGUGAACCCGCCCACUUUCUCCUCCUCCUUCUAUUCUACUCGCACUACCAUUUACCUGAGAGGCUCAAACCACCAUAAAAAAACCUAAAAUGGUUUCUUUCCAUUUCCCUGGAAGAGACGGCCUCAAACCUAGACUUCAAUAAAUUAAAUCAUCUUCUACUCCAUUUUUCAAACCGCGCAGGAAAAUCAUUCCCACUUUGCUAUCAAUUGUUCACUUUUAAACCCUAAAUCGUGUUACCCCUAGAUAUCCAUUAAAAUCAAAUCAAAACUUAACCAUAUGUCUGUAAUUUCCUCAAUCUUGACAAUGAAAAGAUCAUUUUAUAAACACUCCCAUACAGGUAAAGGAUCUCCAUUUCUGUUUCAUUCUCUCGAAAAAUCUGGAUGGUUCUAUUUUUAUGUCUUAAAAUUUAAUUGCUUGUUUAUUACAAUUUUAGAGUUGAUUUUUAAAAUCUGACCGGGAUUAAUUCAUCUUUCUAAUCCACGUAUAUGUAAUUUCGAUAUUGAUUGAGUCGAUUUUAGAGGGCAGAAGAAGAAAAGGAGAAUAAGAAAAAGUGUCGGCGGCAGGGGUUCUUCUCAUCAGAGGAAGAUGAACUUCUGGGACGAGUUUUCUAGAAGGAUUACUGGUAUGGGUUUUUGUGUUUAUGUUACUGUAUGUAUUCAUGGGUUGCUGUAUUAUUAAUGCAAUUUGAAUGAGUUAUUGUCUGUGGUGUAAUUUUAUUUUGGAUCUGUAUAGGUAGAAUAGCAGUUGUAUAUGUUAGGAUUUGUGGCUUAAUCUGACAGUACUGUAUAACUACAUUAAAAUCGAUUUAAGCAGAUUUUUUGAUAUAAGGAAUCGAGUACUUUCCCAAACUGGUAAGAAUUUUGUUUACUUGUUUGUUGGAUGUCCUGGUAAGUCGUACAUUUAGAAUUUCUUCAAACCCAAAAUUUUAAAUUCGGUGAUGUUGCUUUGAUAUAUUCAAUUGUAGUGGUGAUGCCCAUCUCUUCUUUUGUCUUUAGAGUUGUUUUGAGUAGUUUUCCUUUGUUCUUCAUUUGGGAUCUUCCUGGUGAGGUGAUAACCCACAAAUCAUCAUAUAUUAACUGAAAUCCCCAUAUUCAUUUUCAAGUUAUGAAGGUCUUAUAUUUAGAAUUUAGUUAUUGAAAUCUUUGUUGGUGUAUUUGUUAGGCUAGGCAAAGUUGAUAAAGACAAAGCCGUACCUUAAUAGCUUAUGAAGCAGAAAGUACUAUCCAAACAGGUCUGAAGAAAGUCUCCAACAGGUCUGGCAACAGACAGGGCGAAAAGCUUUGGGCACCAGAAAACAAUGUGAAAAGUUACCAUUGAGAUUUCUAGUUCAAAUACAUCUUCCUUAUUGCUUUAAGGUACCAUUAUCUGCAUGGGUUUGCUUUUCUAUGCUGAUGAUUUUCCCACACACAACUUCAUUGUCAAUCAAACUAUUUUGUAGCUCAUGAGACUCAGAAAACACCAAAUCAAGUCAAGUGAUGCUAAAAGGGAACUAGCUCGUUAGUAAAAAGAUCAAGGUUUGCUUGUCUCAUUAUAAAGCGUAAAUGCUAAUGAAGUUGUCAUCCACUUCACGCAUAUACUACAUGAAGAUUUUGGGAUACCUGAUUCAAUCCUCCAUUAAAGUUUAAAGCCAAAUGCGAAGAUGUCUUAUCAGAAUCUGUUAGAGUUCCAGAGAAACCAGUUCAUGUUAGUCAUGUUUUUUAUUUUGUUUCAAUAUCGCGAACUUACUGUUAUAUUAUCUGAUUCAGAAGCUUAAUUGUGUUGGAAUCAUCUUGAUGCAUUUAACUUUCUUUAAUGAAUGAAUGGAAGCUUUUCAUAUUUU